UUUAUUUUAUCAUAUUGUGCGUAAAAGAGAACAAUUUCUUUAAAUAUUUCAUCGUUUGUAAUUUUGCAUUAAUAAUAGCGUAGGAUUGUAGCGAGUAUAGAAAGGUUCCGUGUGUUACGGAGAAUACGCACGUUUGAUCGUUGGAACAAUCUACUCGUAUAAGACAAGUGAUUUGAUAACCAAAAUGAAGUUGGGUCUUCUGUUCAUAACCUUUUUAAUGGCGAUAAUGUCCGUCAUGUCAUACAGAGCACCAGUGCCGAAUAGAAGACCGGGACAGCCUACUUUCCCUACUUUCCCGGGAACCGGACCGUUUAAUCCGAAAAUACCUCAAGGUCCAUGGGGUAGACCCAGUAUUUAAGAAGUUUUGGUAUACUGAAAAAACAGGAGGAUUAAAGAAAGAGAUUAAUUAA